rnacentral:rRNA from 1 species
GUGGGGAAUAUUGGACAAUGGGCGAAAGCCUGAUCCAGCCAUGCCGCGUGUGCGAAGAAGGUCUUCGGAUUGUAAAGCACUUUAAGUUGGGAGGAAGGGCAGUAAGUUAAUACCUUGCUGUUUUGACGUUACCGACAGAAUAAGCACCGGCUAACUUCGUGCCAGCAGCCGCGGUAAUACGAAGGGUGCAAGCGUUAAUCGGAAUUACUGGGCGUAAAGCGCGCGUAGGUGGUUUUGUAAGUUGGAGGUGAAAUCCCCGGGCUCAACCUGGGAACUGCCUCCAAAACUGCAUGACUAGAGUACGGUAGAGGGUAGUGGAAUUUCCUGUGUAGCGGUGAAAUGCGUAGAUAUAGGAAGGAACACCAGUGGCGAAGGCGACUACCUGGACUGAUACUGACACUGAGGUGCGAAAGCGUGGGGAGCAAACAGGAUUAGAAACCCUUGUAGUCC